UCGGCAUAUUUGCGGCGGACGAACUUGGGGAUGGGACCUUUGGGCGUAGCAGUGCCCGCGGCCUAUUUUUUGCACACGGAGGCCCUUCGCAAAGUCUGGCCCCAUUCCGAGUCCGGCGGACGAACUUGGCCAGCCCCUCCCCCUAAGGCUAUACCCCACCAGUUUUUUGGGCAUUUUUGCGGCGGAUGAACUUGGGGACGGGACGAUCGGGCACUUAUUUUUUGGCGCGGCAGUGCCCGCGGCCUAUUUUUGGCACACGGAGGCCCCUCGCAAAGUCUGGCCCCAUUCCGAGUCCGGCGGACGAAAUUGGCCAGCCCCUCCCCCCAAGGCUAUAGCCCACCCGUUUUUUGGGCAUUUUUGCGGCGGACGAACAUGGGGACGGGACCUUCGGGCGCUUAUUUUUGGGCGGGGCCGUGCCUGCGGCCUAUUUUUGGCACACAGAGGCCCCUCGCAAAGUCUGGCCCCAUUCCGAGUCCUGCGGACGAACUUGGCUAGCCCCUCCCCCCAAGGCUAUAGCCCACCCGAUUUUUGGGCAUUUUUGCGGUGGACGAUCUUGGGGACGGAACCUUCGGGCGCUUAUUUUUGGGCGCGGCAGUGCCCGCGGCCUAUUUUUGGCACACGGAGGCCCCACGCAAAGUCUGGCCCCAUUCCGAGUCUGGCGUACGAACUUGGCUAGCCCCUCCCCCCAAGGCUAUAGCCCACCCGUUUUUUGGGCAUUUUUGCAGUGGACGAUCUUGGGGACGGGACCUUUGGGCGCUUAUUUUUGGGCGCGGCAGUGCCCGCGGCCUAUUUUUGGCACACGGAGGCCCCUCGCAAAGUCUGGCCCCCUUCUGAGUCUGGCGUACGAACUUUUGGCACACGGAGGCCCCUCGCAAAGUCUGGCCCCAUUCCGAGUCCGGUGGACGAACUUGGCCAGCCCCUCCCCCCAAGGCUUUAGCUCACCCAUUUUUUGGGCAUUUUUGCGGCAGACGAACUUGGGGACGGGACCUUCGGGCGCUUAUUUUUGGGCGCGGCAGUGCCCACGGCCUAUUUUUUGCACACGGGGGCCCCUCGCAAAGUCUGGCCCCAUUCCGAUUCCGGCGGACGAACUUGGCCAGCCCCUCCCCCCAA
rnacentral:lncRNA from 1 species